rnacentral:ncRNA from 2 species
CAACCAUCAAGAGAAACUGAGGGACUGGCCCUGUGAUGUUUCAGCAACCUGCCUAUGGUGUGGUGCUAAUUCCAGACAGAUGGAUA